rnacentral:RNase_P_RNA from 1 species
CGAGGCGGACGGGUGGCCGCUUUGCUUCCUACGGGAAUCGGAGAGGAAAGUCCGGGCUCCAUAGAGCAGGGCGCUGGGUAAUCCCCAGUCGGGGUGACUCGAAGGAAAGUGCCACAGAAAUGACACCGCCGGCUCCUCCUCAGGGAGAGGCCGGUAAGGGUGAAAUGGUGGGGUAAGAGCCCACCGGCGGCCGGGUGACCGGCCGGCCAGGCAAACCCCGCCCGGAGCAAGACCAAAUAGGAGGGCGCUCCCCGUGAGGGGCCCCGCCGGGCACCGGAGCCCUGCGGGUGACAAGGUUGCUCGCCGAGCCCUCGGGUAGCGGUCGCUGGAGGCGCCGGGUGACCGGCGUCGUAGAUAGAUGGCCACCACCCGCCCAGCGGGUACAGAACCCGGCUUAUAGUCCGCUCUCGACCC